CGUAUACGUAGGUGGCAAGCGUUGUCCGGAAUUAUUGGGCGUAAAGGGCUCGCAGGCGGUUUCUUAAGUCUGAUGUGAAAGCCCCCGGCUCAACCGGGGAGGGUCAUUGGAAACUGGGAAACUUGAGUGCAGAAGAGGAGAGUGGAAUUCCACGUGUAGCGGUGAAAUGCGUAGAGAUGUGGAGGAACACCAGUGGCGAAGGCGACUCUCUGGUCUGUAACUGACGCUGAGGAGCGAAAGCGUGGGGAGCGAACAGGAUUAGAUACCCUGGUAGUCCACGCCGUAAACGAUGAGUGCUAAGUGUUAGGGGGUUUCCGCCCCUUAGUGCUGCAGCUAACGCAUUAAGCACUCCGCCUGGGGAGUACGGUCGCAAGACUGAAACUCAAAGGAAUUGACGGGGGCCCGCACAAGCGGUGGAGCAUGUGGUUUAAUUCGAAGCAACGCGAAGAACCUUACCAGGUCUUGACAUCCUCUGACAACCCUAGAGAUAGGGCUUUCCCUUCGGGGACAGAGUGACAGGUGGUGCAUGGUUGUCGUCAGCUCGUGUCGUGAGAUGUUGGGUUAAGUCCCGCAACGAGCGCAACCCUUGAUCUUAGUUGCCAGCAUUUAGUUGGGCACUCUAAGGUGACUGCCGGUGACAAACCGGAGGAAGGUGGGGAUGACGUCAAAUCAUCAUGCCCCUUAUGACCUGGGCUACACACGUGCUACAAUGGACAGAACAAAGGGCUGCGAGACCGCAAGGUUUAGCCAAUCCCACAAAUCUGUUCUCAGUUCGGAUCGCAGUCUGCAACUCGACUGCGUGAAGCUGGAAUCGCUAGUAAUCGCGGAUCAGCUGCCGCGGA
rnacentral:rRNA from 1 species